GAAAUGCGAUAAGUAGUGUGAAUUGCAGAAUUCAGUGAAUCAUCGAAUCUUUGAACGCAUAUUGCGCCCCUUGGUAUUCCAUGGGGCAUGCCUGUUCGAGCGUCAUUUGUACCCUCAAGCUCUGCUUGGUGUUGGGUGUUUGUCCCGUCUCCGCGCGUGGACUCGCCCCAAAGUGAUUGGCAGCCGGCGUACUGGUCCCGGAGCGCAGCACAUGUCGCGCAAACGAGUGCCUUGGUACGGCGGCGUCCAUAAGCCCCUCUCUCACGCUCUUGACCUCGGAUCAGGUAGGGAUACCCGCUGAACUUAAGC
rnacentral:misc_RNA from 1 species